UACACUCCUGCGGGAGGCAGCAGUGGGGAAUAUUGCACAAUGGGCGCAAGCCUGAUGCAGCGACGCCGCGUGGGGGAUGAAGGCCUUCGGGUUGUAAACUCCUUUCGCUAGGGACGAAGCUUUUUUGUGACGGUACCUAGAUAAGAAGCACCGGCUAACUACGUGCCAGCAGCCGCGGUAAUACGUAGGGUGCGAGCGUUGUCCGGAAUUACUGGGCGUAAAGGGCUCGUAGGUGGUUUGUCGCGUCGUCUGUGAAAUUCUGGGGCUUAACUCCGGGCGUGCAGGCGAUACGGGCAUAACUUGAGUGCUGUAGGGGUAACUGGAAUUCCUGGUGUAGCGGUGAAAUGCGCAGAUAUCAGGAGGAACACCGAUGGCGAAGGCAGGUUACUGGGCAGUUACUGACGCUGAGGAGCGAAAGCAUGGGUAGCGAACAGGAUUAGAAACCCGAGUAGUCCC
rnacentral:rRNA from 1 species